rnacentral:rRNA from 1 species
ACGCGACUGAGGCUUCGGCCUCAGUUGAGUGGCGAACGGGUGAGUAACACGUGGGUGACCUACCUUCGAGUGGGGGAUAACGUCCCGAAAGGGACGCUAAUACCGCAUAACAUCCUGCCUUUGAAGAGGCGGAGAUCAAAGCCGGGGAUCGUAAGACCUGGCGCUUGAUGAGGGGCCCGCGUCCGAUUAGCUAGUUGGUGGGGUAAUGGCCUACCAAGGCAACGAUCGGUAGCCGGCCUGAGAGGGCGGACGGCCACACUGGGACUGAGACACGGCCCAGACUCCUACGGGAGGCAGCAGUGGGGAAUUGUUCGCAAUGGGCGCAAGCCUGACGACGCAACGCCGCGUGGAGGAUGAAGGUCUUCGGAUUGUAAACUCCUGUUGCCCGGGACGAAUAGCUCCGACCUAAUACGUCGGAGUGUGACGGUACCGGGUGAGGAAGCCCCGGCUAACUCUGUGCCAGCAGCCGCGGUAAUACAGAGGGGGCAAGCGUUG